GAUAAAAGUGAGAGCUUAAAAUUAAAAAAAAAAAAGGAGACUCUAGUCAGUUUGAUUUUAGGGGAUUCAUGGACAAAUUGUGACGACAUUCAGUCACGCCAGUGUUAUACUGAGAUGUUACAUCUGAGCUUGUCCAUUUUCAACUGAAUAUUGGUGUGCGUAGUGUAUACAUAUAAUGCCUGAUUUUCAGAGUCCUCUGUACAGUGAUAACCUAGGUCUCUCUCUCUCUCUUUUUCUUUUUUUUUAAAUUUUUAUUUUUUGCUUUUUAGGGCUGCACCUGGGAGGCAUAUGGAGAUUCCUAGGGCUAGGGGUCCAGUCGGAGCUGUAGCCACUGGCCUACGCCAGAGCCACAGCAACGCGGGAUCCGAGCCGCAUCUGCAACCUACACCACAGCUCACGGCAACGCUGGAUCGUUAACCCACUGAGCAAGGGCAGGGACCGAACCCGCAACCUCAUGGUUCCUAGUCGGAUUCGUUAACCACUGCGCCACGACGGGAACUCCCUAACUGGUUUUAUGAUAUUAGAAAAAAUGUUGCAAAACCUUUAAAGGAUGCAGAAUUGGAAGUUCUGAAGGUUCGGUACUUCAUGUCCCUCUUAGCUUACUCAGAGGCUGAGGGAUUUCCAUUCCUUGUAUUGCUCUGGGAGGUGCAAUAUAUUAUUUGGAAAGCUCUGAUUUAAAACUAAUAGAUAGGCAUGGAUUGAAUUCUCCUUCAGAGCUUCCAAAAGGAACCACCCUGCUGAUACUUGUAGCCACCAGAAUUAUGGAAGAAUAAAUUUCUGUUGGUUUAAGCCACCCAGUUUGUGGGACUUCAGUGCUUUGUUACAGGAGCCCUGAGAAACUUAGAUAGUAACCAGCUAUAAUUUUCUUAUUCAGAUAUUAUUUGAGCCUUCUUGUUGUGGCUACACGUAUAAAUGUGACUGAAAAGAGGAUCUUCUCCUCCUGUUUAUGAUAACCCUAAGUUUUAGAGCACUAAGUAUUGCUAGUCAUCAUUAUUUAGAUUCUUACACUAAACACUAAGACACUGGCUAUUAUAUCUGCUUUUAGAAUGAAGACACAGGGCUCAGAAAGGGCAACCCUCACAUAAUCUGAAUGUUGGUUUCUGACUAAAAGCCUGUAUUUUCUUUCCUGUUUCUCCAUGUACUUAGAGAAGUCAGUUUUUAUUGGUAGCAGUAGCUGGUAUUUACAGAUUUUCUUCUCUAACUCACAGUUUAGUUGUAUAAUCUAGGCAAAAAAACAGUGGCCUCUUGAGAGUUCCCUUGUGGCACAGCAGGUUAAGGAUCCAGCGUUGUCACAGCCACUGCUGUGGCUCGGGUCGCUAUUGUAAUGUGGGUUUGAUCCCUAGCCCAGAAACUUCCAAAUGCUAGGGCAUAGCCAAAAAAAAAAAAAAA
rnacentral:lncRNA from 1 species